GAUGAAGAACGUAGCGAAAUGCGAUAAGUAAUGUGAAUUGCAGAAUUCAGUGAAUCAUCGAAUCUUUGAACGCACAUUGCGCCCUCUGGUAUUCCGGGGGGCAUGCCUGUUCGAGCGUCAUUACAACCCUCAAGCUUUGCUUGGUAUUGGACAUUGCCAGUUUCUGGCAGGUCUUAAAAUCAGUGGCGGUGCCAUUUGGCUUCAAGCGUAGUAAUUCUUCUCGCUUUGGAGAUCCAAGUGGUUACUUGCCAAUAACCCCCAAUUUUUUCAGGUUGACCUCGGAUCAGGUAGGGAUACCCGCUGAACUUAAGCAUAUCAAUAGCGGAGGA
rnacentral:misc_RNA from 1 species